rnacentral:rRNA from 1 species
GCCAAGUACGUGCCAGGGUCAGGGGGAAGAGGUAGGGGCCUGGCGUGUUCCGUAGUUAGUUGGCGUAAAGGGCUCGUAGGCGGGUCGGUAAGGCAGGUGGGAAAUCUCCACGCUCAACGUGGAGGCGCCACCUGAAACUGCCGGGACUGGAGUCCGGUAGGGGAGUGUGGAAUUCCCGGUGUAGCGGUGAAAUGCGCAGAUAUCGGGAGGAACACCAAUGGCGAAGGCAGCACUCUGGGCCGGUACUGACGCUGAGGAGCGAAAGCGUGGGGAGCGAACAGGAUUAGAUACCCUGUAGUC